rnacentral:tRNA from 1 species
GCCAGAGUGGUGGAAUGGUAUACACGAGGGACUUAAAAUCCCUUGCCUUCACGGGCUUACGGGUUCGAGUCCCGUCUCUGGUACUA